AAUCUGGUCAGACGGAAAGCGAAGUUUGAACGAAACGGACGCGCAGCUGACGCAUUAAAAUUAAAGAAAACUAUCCCCCGUUUUUGUUUUUUGCCGGCAUUUUGGCAGCAGUGUGGAAUAAACCAAAUAGCAAAGUAAAUAAAAAAAUAACAACAAAUUAAGCAAAUAAAAUAAACCCAAAAGAAAAACCGGUUAAAUCAAGUGACUAAAUAAAACACGUCAUUUUCCCAACAAUAUCUCUAGACAGCAACAGCAAGUUUUGGGCUCAAGGACGUCACCGGUGGAGUAGCGGUGGUAUCGGUAUCGGAUUGAAGGAGCAGCAGAGAG